GACGAACGCUGGCGGCGUGCCUAAUACAUGCAAGUCGAGCGGACUUUCAAGAAGCUUGCUUUUUGAAAGUUAGCGGCGGACGGGUGAGUAACACGUGGGCAACCUGCCUGCAAGACGGGGAUAACUCCGGGAAACCGGGGCUAAUACCGGAUAAUAUCUUCCUUCGCAUGAAGGAAGGUUGAAAGGCGGCGCAAGCUGCCGCUUGCAGAUGGGCCCGCGGCGCAUUAGCUAGUUGGUGAGGUAACGGCUCACCAGGGCGACGAUGCGUAGCCGACCUGAGAGGGUGAUCGGCCACACUGGGACUGAGACACGGCCCAGACUCCUACGGGAGGCAGCAGUAGGGAAUCUUCCGCAAUGGACGAAAGUCUGACGGAGCAACGCCGCGUGAGCGAAGAAGGUCUUCGGAUCGUAAAGCUCUGUUGUCAGGGAAGAACAAGUACCGUUCGAACAGGGCGGUACCUUGACGGUACCUGACCAGAAAGCCACGGCUAACUACGUG
rnacentral:rRNA from 1 species